ensembl:lncRNA
CAAGGCUAGAGGAAAAGAGGUUAAUGAGUAGAGAGGAACACAAACCUGCAUGAUAAUAAAAGCCUGGAGGACUUCAGGGGGCAGGCUAAACGUGAACAGGAAGAUGACAGAGCUGCAUUUCUAGGCACCUGAGGGAAGGCAGGGAGUUGUGUUGUGGCUGUCACAGCUAAAAGAUGCAUCGAGGCACAAGCAAGGAUGUCUACAGCAGCCAACAGGAAGCAUUUGACAGACCAGGAGAUUAGAGAGGAGGUUACCAUCAAGCCAGUUUCCUGAGAAGCUGGAGAGAUACAGAAGAAAUGUGGGUUUUGGUAUAUGACAAAUCCACACUGCGACUUCUCCCCACUGCUUUUGUUGCAAUGCCUUUGAGCUCGUGCAAAACUACGGAAAAGGCCACAGAGGGGGAGCUCAGCAGAAGGAAGCCUGGUUUCUCCACCAGAGAUGGAUCAUGUUGAAACACAAGGGUAGCCUCUUCCUUAUUGGAAGCUGGGAUAUUGCCUGUGCUGUGCAGAGAGGAGCCCACAGCAGCAGCCUUUGGGCAAUGGGACACACUUCUGGAGUUGUUAUCAUCUGCCAUCAAACACAGCCCUAGGCCCGAGGAGGGGCUUUAAUGAGCAGGGAAAACACCACAGAAGAACUGGAAAUGUUCCCCCUCAGGUCAACAAGUCCCAGGCCCUAGCUGGAUGGCACCAACUGGACUGUAUGUCUGGGCACUGCGUCCCACUCAUUUUUAAGGAAAAUUAAGCCCCACCCCGGAGAGUCUGCUCACAGCUCAGGCAGUUCUCUGCUGGACUGGGCUGCCUGGAGCCCGUGUUCUCCACAUCUGAAACCAGACGACCCCAGGAGCAAAGCUCCACGUUUCCAGUCACUGGUUCACAGCCUCUGGCAGUUCCUGCAGGAUGGCUGAAAACAGUGCCAUGGGGCUGGCAGCUUGCCCCCACAGCCAGUGCAUCCCAACCACACCUGCCUUGGACCUGGAGAAGGAAUCCUAUAAUCCCUGUGUGGUCCUUCAGCAUUACCCAGCAUCUCCAUCCCAAACAUUGCGUCUUCCUUCUCCUUCCUGCUCCAUAAUGCAACCACUUAUAUGGAAAAUGAAUCAGCCCUCCUUGGGCAUCUUUCCAAAUGCCCCUCUGACUAAUUCUGCCCAAAACAGCCAGGCUGACCCUGUGCAAUGGCGUGAUCAUGGCAGACAGGACUGGGUCACGUUUGGGUGGAGGAAGGGAAAAACUGUUUUGCAGGCCUGCCCAAAAAUCCUCAUGUUGACUCUGCCAAAACCACACCAAACAUAUGGUAAAUGAAAUAGCUGGCAUGGAGCUGCUUUGGACGGCAGGAGUGUUUCAGCACUGUGGACUGCUCUUUAGCUGUCUUGAAUGUUAUUUACACUGUUUUAAGUAUCUCCACAUUUAAGGGAGAGAAGGCAAAGAAGAGGGCGAUGCCAAUUUUUUUGUGCAUUUGAUGCUUUUUACAUGCACGUUAUUUUUAUAGCCAUGUUAGCACGGUCCCAAUGCUUGCCCUGUCCUGUGGCUGAGAACAGUAACAGCAUUGCAGAAGGUUUCCUCCCCUCUUCGUGUAGCAACAGACUUCGGUGGAAAAGCACACAGAAGCAUUUUCUCUCUCAAAACAGGAGCUGUGCCUAAUUCACCAUAUAAAUGUCCUGCACAUUUCAUGGAGCUGAUGAAAUCAUGUACAGAUGGAAUGCCUCUUAACAAAGGCUUUAUUCACAGGGCAGGUUUCUCUGCCAUGUAUCUUUGACUGUAUUCCAGCUUAUACAGCUAUUCCCAGUGAAUACAUCCAUGGAGCCAGACCAUUUUCUGGGCAGAUACCAAAGGUGGAUGUGCUCAGCUCCCAACACCGCACUGUGGCUUCACUACAAGUCUGAGGCUGGAAGUCAUGCCAAUGAGCAUUCCUUUCCUCACUCUGUAUUGUUCACCUGGACUCAAGCACCCAGUGCCAUUUCCAGGGUUUGUCAGGUACUUUGGAAGAAACACCGCAGGACAACAGAACCUGAGAAAGAGCAUCCAGAGAAGCCAGAGGUCUUCAGUCAUUUGGGAGACGGCCAUAGGAAUGGAGUUGUGGUGGCUACAGCUACAAAAGAUGGAUGAAAAUAAAGCAGCCAAAUGGUGAUGAUCAUGAAAAAAAAAUAAAAAAUAAAAAGUGACUGUUCUUGAGAUCGAGGUAUAGAUUUUUUUUCUUGGAGCUACAGUGGCAGAGUGCCAGCAGGAGAGCUCACCUCCUCACAUAGCAGCUGGCGGGCUGCUGGGCAGCUCUCCACCACCGUUUGCAUGUUUUAACCCUUCCCCAGCCCCAACUCAACCUGUAGCUUCUCCCAUUUGUCCAUAAGCCAUGGCGUCCUGACACUAUUGCACUCUUGAGGGUCCUGUGUAAAAGCAGGCAGGGGCUGCUGGCCUGCUCGCAUGCACACCUUCCCAGUGCUGAAAACUCAACUCCCAAAUCCCCUGUUCAUCCAACAACCUCAUCAUCUAGACAAGGAAAACAGCAGGCUGAUCUAUGCUGCAGAGCAAACUUCCUGGCACAGUCCAGUGGUAUUCGUCCAUGAACCCUUCUCUCUGCCUUUCUUUUUUGCCCUUUGUUCAGCGCUCAGUCAGUAACUCCUUAGAAACAACUCGCUAACUGCCCACGCUCAAAACAAGAACAGCAACAACAAAAGGAAUGAUAUAGAGGGAUGACUUCAUCGAGUUUGGAAAUAUCUUCUCAAAUGAAACAUUCCUUUACUCACAUACACAAGAAAGUAUCAAAAUUCUCUGCAGCUGAUGUAAACAGCAGAAAGAAAAAGUCAUCUGGAAGGACAGGAUGAUUCAUACCAAGGACCUGACUGGCAAUAUUCAUCAGUGUUGAAAUCCUCUCUGCAAGAUGACUACAUGCGAAAGCAAAACCAACGAGAUCCCAGCUUUUGCCAUGAGAAGCGUCAUUAACGGCAGAGCAGCGUGGUUAGGCUCCUAAUGCCACAACCCUUGCUCAUGGGAGUAACCCUUGCUCACUCAUCUGACCGGUCGCAGCAAAAAGCCCUGUGUCACCCAGGUGAGAAUGCUUUACAUAAGGGCAGCCACAGCAGCAGGCUGGAGCAGGCUCAGCUGUUGCAGCCUAUUUUGCAGAAGGGGCUUUGGAGCAGGAACAGAAAGUUCAAUAGCAAAAGAGAAGGGUUUUUCUCCAUCUUGCCAAAACUCCUUGCUAGGGUUUCCUCGCAGAAAUCCCUGAUUUGAGCACUUUGGGGAGACUGGAAAGUUCAGCCAAUCUUUCCCUUUAUGUUAAUUGUGUUGAUCCAAAUGGUAACAGGGCACAAAAGGCCGCGUUGACUUUAUGCACUGUUAUGAGAUACUUUCCCCUGCAUAUCUGAAUCUGUUUACUUAAUCUUCCAGGCCUUUACCCAUGAAUAUUAAACUCCUUGAUCACUAUGCAUUAGGAGUCAUCUUUGCACCAUCUGUUUGUAUUUGUCAUCUAACCCUUGUAAAUAAUAAAAUGUACUUUGUUCUCAAGUUCGUGGAUCCUAGCAGGAGAGUGAUUACCACGGAGGAAAAGUACUGUGUGAAGCUAUUAGCAGCCACAGGACUCUCCUUUAGCUCCCUGUCUCCUGUCUGCCCUCUGUGAGACAAAUGUACCAAGUCACAGGUUCCCUAUUGUUCUCCAUAUCAUUCUAUUUCUGCUGCCAACGCAUUCACCACUAUUACGGUCAUUAAACUAAAGCCGAAAACCUACCCCAAAGAGUGACUGUUAGCCUCCUUAGUCUCCUUGUAGUCCCAGAAGAGAUGAUUUCGGGUUCACAUCUCUGAAUACGAUGCAGAAAGUCUUGCUUAUGCAUGUAAAAUGAGCUAAUAGCAGAAGAGAAGGUGAGUUGCAUUCCUGGAUGCCAGUAUUCAGCUGAGAGGUUCAACUGGGAGGUACAGCUCACAAGACGCCAAGCAAACACCAAGGGAAAAAUGCAGAAAGUGCAGUCUCUAGAAUAUAAAAUUAAUCCUUGGAGUUCUGGCUUAAAAUGUUAUGCAGCAGGAAGAGCCUUGCCACAUAUUACUGAGGUUCAGCUUCAACUUCACCAACUGAGACAAGGAGGUUUCACCUGGGAGAGAGGCCCAUAGCUGCAGGUGCUCAUGGGAAGCCACGGCCGCUGGCGGGCACACCUCACACACCAGGAUCUCCCUGCAGCCAGCAGGAGACGUGCCUGGCAGCAGGCUUAUGUCCAUUCACAUCACCCAGUGAGUUGCCUCUCCAUGCUCUUAUAAGUGAACCUGGAUGUCGGGCAACUAUCACCAGUUCUCAGGCAGCUGCAGUCUAUUUAAAACCUAAUGGAGCUGAUUAGAGAAGGGAUCAUUUAGGAGAUGAUAUGGGAUCGUAUUGUAUCUAUCUGAUGUGGUGGUAGCACCAAAUUUAGACAAGAAAAUUGUUGCCAAGUAUUUGCUUAACUGGAAGAGCUGUCUGGGCUCGGACAAGAUACCACUCGCCUCUCUGCUCAGCCUUGCAAACAUCCUACACUAGGAGGUUACCUAUUAAGUGAUACACAAUAGAUCUUUUUAAUUGUUAGAGCGUUACGACCUUAGACUUUGCCCAGGUAUUUAAUAACACCAUCUGCUGUCUAGCUCUGCAAUACUAUUAUUUUUACAUGAGGAUUACUCUUCCUGCUUCACAAACAGCGCUGUAAUAACAGAGCUAAAUAAGAGCACAGCAGCGUGGUACUUACACCCUACUGUCCAAGUAAAACACACAGGAGGUGCAGCUCACCCCAAAUUUCCAGACGCAUUGUCUCCAACCUGGAAGUCUUGAAGUGCUGCAGGCGGAGGAGCUGUGGAUCCAGUCUUGUGGGUUGCACUCAGGAAAAGCUCUCGCCUUGCCUGAGAAAGGGCCAGGAGCAAAAUCCAUCCCUGUGUAGGCUGUCUGCUCCUUGGCUGGCUCUGCUUUUCCCAUUUGCUUCCCCAGAACAACAGCAAUGGUCUGCUGGCCAUGAGCUAGGAGUCACUGUGCCUUCAGGCUUUUUUCUCAUUAAUAACACACUCUUGCAGCACACGCAUUUAGCUCCAAACAGUCAUAUUUAUCUGGUUUUAUAUCUGUAUCUAUAAAGGGUCCAAGGCAAACAGAGAUGUGACCUUUGGCACUUUCAGCUGAAAUGCCUCUGUACCAAUGCACACAUCAUGGGAAGUAAGCAGGAGGAAUUGGAAACUGUGGUGCAAUUGGAAAACUACAAUCUUAUUGCUAUCAUGGAAACACGGUGGGAUGACUCACAAGAGGAAUACCAUGAUUGAGGGCUGUAAACUUUUUAGAAGGGAUAGGCAAAUUGGAGAGGUGGGGGAGUGGCCCUCUUCUUGUUAAGAAGUGGAUAAUCUGCUGAGAGCUGCCCCUGAGAAACAGUCAGGAACAGGUUAAGAGCUUGUGGGUUAAGAUUAGGGACAGGGCCAGUAAAGGGCAUCUGGUGGUCAGGG